UUUAGGUAAGUGUUUUCCGCACAUAGGUCUUUGACCCCUAUAGAUGAAGCUUAUACUUCAACCUAAAC
rnacentral:tRNA from 1 species